rnacentral:rRNA from 1 species
AUGGACUCAUUAUUGCAUGCGAUGUUUGUCAAGCUCGCUGUUACUCUAUAGGCAAUUUGGUUGGCUAGACGGAAGGCUAUUCACGAAGGAAUUUUUCAAAACCAUCAUUCUCUGCAUGUCUUUGUCACUCAUUUCAUGUAGGAGCUCAAAGUCAUUAAUGAGAAGCAACCGGUGCAAUCUAGAGCGUGUGCCACGAACCCACGUCCGAAGGCUCCUUCUGCUGGUUUUGCACAAAUACAUGUGGACACAGGUGUUCGGCAAGGCAGAGGGGGAACGACAGCAGCUGUUUGUAGAGAUUCAAUCGGCACGUAUCUGGGAAGCUCAUCCCUCAUCAUAACUGGAGUUCACGAUCCGGCAAGCCUAGAGGUUAUGGCAUGUAGAGAGGCAUUGGCUCUCGCGGAAGACCUUGAUCUCCAACAAUUCAUAGUUGCUUCGGAUGCAAAACAAGUGGUGGGGGACUUAAGAAAGGGCAGUCAAGGGAAAUACGGUGCCAUUAUCCAAGAGAUUAAACUAAGAUCUUCUGUUUUCAGUUGUAAUUUUACUUUUGAGAGUCAUGCUGUCAAUGUUAAAGCACAAAGUUUAGCUAGAUUUUCUCUUUCUCUAGCGCAUGGGCAUCAUGUGUGGCUUGACCAACCCCAUGACAUAAACUGUAUCCCACUUCAUGUGGCUUUUGAUGAAUAUAAAGUUGGUCUUACCCCUAAAAAAUGUCUCUCGUUUGGGUGCCUAAAAAAUGUAUUUCGUUGA